rnacentral:rRNA from 1 species
AAAGUUGUUGCAGUUAAGAAGCUCGUAGUUGAAUUUCUGCCUUAUCAUUAAUUUCGCUUCCGAACGUAAUUUUAUUGAUUUGGCAUCUUCUGGAUUAUAUAUUAUUUUUAAUAUAUUUUUCCAGUAUUUUACUUUGAGAAAACUAGAGUGUUUCAAACAGGCUUUUGCCUUGAAUACUACAGCAUGGAAUAAUGAAGUAGGACUAUUGGUUCUAUUUUGUUGGUUAUCGAACCAUAGUAAUGGUUAAUAGGAGCAGUUGGGGGCAUUCGUAUUUAACUGUCAGAGGUGAAAUUCUUAGAUUUGUUAAAGACGAACUACUGCGAAAGCAUUUGCCAAGGAUGUUUUCAUUAAUCAAGAACGAAAGUUAGGGGAUCGAAGACGAUCAGAUACCGUCGUAGUCCUAACCAUAAAC